UACGUAGGGAGCAAGCGUUGUCCGGAAUCAUUGGGCGUAAAGCGCGCGUAGGUGGCCAUUUAAGUCCGCUGUGAAAGUCAAAGGCUCAACCUUUGAAAGCCGGUGGAUACUGGGUGGCUAGAGUACGGAAGAGGCGAGUGGAAUUCCUGGUGUAGCGGUGGAAUGCGCAGAUAUCAGGAGGAACACCAAUAGCGAAGGCGGCUCACUGGCCCGAUACUGACGCUGAGGCACGAAAGCGUGGGGAGCAAACAGG
rnacentral:rRNA from 1 species